rnacentral:lncRNA from 1 species
CAGGAUCAUGAGAAUUCCUCGGGGCUGGUGUUGAAAGGAAUUUCCCCUGCUCUUGCCAGAGUCUCGAGGGGUGGCCUCCUUCCACGGGUGAGUAACCACAAGUCCAUGUGACCGAACAAACAGCAUAUUCUUUUGUUCAAAAGAGAAAAACAACAUUGAAGGAAAUCAGCUGAAGAAAAUUGAGAUGAAAGCCAGUCCACGCCUCAGCAUCCUGAGGAAAUGUUCUUCCUUGAUGCUCUGAGCUCUCUAAGAAGUUACCACAAAACCAAACCCAUCAGAAGUUUGCAGGACGUCCUUGUUUAGAGCUGGGAAAUAAACCACGAAACAGCGCAAAGGAGAGUCCAGGCCUGCCAAUGCUUCCGCGAACUCCUCGCCCCGACCUCAUCCUUCUCCAGCUCCUACCUGCAGGCCUCAGACAACUUUUGCAGACCUCUGGUCCGGACAAUGAACAACCCAUAGAACAAGAUCUGAUUUGUAAUGUUUGCUGAUCUCCAAAGUGUAAAUACUCCCACCAUGACCAAUUGGAAGCCACUGACAAGUCCUCACUAAAUGCAGAAUUGAGAAGAAACACGAAUAGCACAUCAUUGUAUGGUAUUUCCACUCUACCAAUGGAUGUGAAUAACCUCAAGAACACAUAAUGUUGAGAUGUGGAAAAAUCAUCAGGAAGCCGUGAGUUUUGACUAUUUGCUUUUUAGCUAAUUAAUUAUAAGGUCACAUAAUUUAGUGUUUAAUAAUCACUAUGUUAACAACCAGCUCACAGCAUUCCUGAAAAUUUCACAGUUGGCUCCUGUAAGCUGAUAUGGCCAGCCCCAGCUCAUGACAGGUUACGGUAUGCUGUCAAUUGUGUGGAAAACGUAUCGGGAGGUCAUGACUGUAUAUCCACAUAAGCUUCUCUAUGCACAGAGUAUCUCUGGAAGAUGCAUAAGAAAUUGCAACAGCUGUUGCUUCCGCAGUGGGCAAAUGGAGGUCUGGGAGUUGAGUUGGGGAUGCACAUUUAUUUUUUACUAUAUGUUCUUUUGUAGAGAAUAUAAAUUGGUAUGAAUUUUUUAAGCAUAUGUCUGUGUUACCCUUAAAUCCCAAUGGAUCUUUUAUAAGCAAGCUCUUCCAUCUUUUUUUUCCCGAGUCUCCCCUUCACCCUGCAGUGUCUCUGCAAUGCUGGUAGAGUGGGCUGGCACAGCCCCCGCCUCUGGCCUGGUCCGGGUCCAACCUGCCUGCCUCCUGGGGCAGCAGCUCCCUGAACGAAGAGCCGCGGAGACCGAAGAACUCAGUGAAUCAGCAGUUCUCCCAGAUGAAACGCUGGCCUGAAAGCAGCCUCAAGAGCUUUGGCCCGUCACCUUGCCUUGCCUUCUCUUCCUUCCUCGUCCUCUGUUUGUUCAUCUUUCCUGAAAAAAUUAAGUCAGCUGUUCCCCUUAACCAAUUUCCCUGGCAUUCUGAAGGGUAGGCCACAUGGCCCACCUGCCAGCUACUCCCACCUGCCAAGCCUUCCUGACUAUAUUUACCCUGGUACUCCCAUGUCCCGGGGCUGCUUCAGCAGAGCCAAGGACACACCCAGGUGUUUGUUUUCUAGGUCAGAUUUCCUCAGCCAUGGGUGUAUCUGUGCUUGUCCCUCAAAAUCCUCAUAGCUCCUUUCCCCACCCCAACUUCCAGGCCAGACGGGGUUCAGGGGUGUCUCAGCUAAGGUUCCCCUGAAGCAGACACAAAUUAGUACAAAAGGGACUUAUUAGGAGGUGAUCCUUAAAAAUUUGGGCAGGAGAAUGGAAAGGGUGGACACAGACAAAAAGGAUGCCAAGUGAGAAUGUGAUGAUUACUGCUGCAGUUUUCUACAGCUGCCUGUCAAACUAUCCCAACACAGUGGCAUUGACCAGCAGCCAUUUUCGCUAUGCCCACAGCUUCUGUGGGUCAGGCGUUUGGACAGGGCAAUGGGAACAGCUUGUUUCUGUUCCAUAGUGUGUGAGGGAGGCCUCAACUGGAAAACUCAAAGACCGGGGUGGCUUGAUGACUGGAGGCUGGAACCAUCCGGAAGCUUCUUGAAGCUGGGUUGACUUACAUGUGGUCUUGCAUGUGAGUUGGGCUUUUCACAUCAUGGCUGUUGGGUUCCAAGAGGCAGUGUCUGGGGAACAAGAGUUCCAAGACACCAAGGCAGAAGCUGCUAGACCUUUUUUGACCUCGCUUCGGAUGUCAGCAAUGAAGUUCUGUGGAUUCAACUGCAUUCUAUUGGUUACCAGCAGUCGCUUGAAUCUGAUUAGCUCCAAAACUGAGUGAGCCUCUGGCAAGAGUGCAUUGCAGAAGGGCACAUCCAAUGAGAGGCGCUGCUGUAGUAACAGGGACCUCUCCAAUGGCCUGUUUGAGUGCUCUCAGAAUAUGGCACCUGGGUUCCUCCAGAGCAAGUGAUCUGAGAGAGAGCAAGGAGAAGGCCACUCUGCCUUUCAUGACUCAUCUCAGAAGUCACACACUAUCACAGGUUCUGUUCUGUUCAUUGGAAGUGAGUCAUGAAGUCCGGCCCACACUCAAGAGAAAGGAAAUUAUGCUCCUUCUUUUGAAAUGAGUGUAAGAAAGUAAAACUUUGUCAAAUGUGUAUGUGUGUGUGUGUGUGUGUCCCUAAACUAUGUGUCUUUUUUUUUAAUCUUUCCUAAAUGGAAUCACACUGUGAGUGUUCUGUGACUUGAAGUUUCACAAGACAUUAUAUUUCUGAAAUCCAUUCAUGUUGACACACUGUAUUAGUUUGCUCCAGCUGCCAUAACAAAAUACCACAGACUAGGGGCUUAAACAACAGAAAUUUACUUUCUCACCAGUUCUGGAGGCUGAAGUUCGAGAUCCAGGCAUGGGCAGGAUCAGUUUCUCCUGGGGCCUCUGUCCUCGGCUUGCAGAUGGCAUCUUCUCCCUGUGUCCCCACAUGGUCCUCCCUCUGUGUGAGUCUGUGUCUUCAUCUCCCCUUCUUAUAAGGACACCAAUCAGGUUGGAUUAGGGGCCACCCUAAAGACCUCACUUUAACUCAAUCACCUCUUUAAAGAACCCACCUCCAAAUAUAGUCCUGAGGUCCUGGGGGUUAGGACUUCAACAGAGGAAUGCUGGGGAGACACAAUUCAACCCAUAGCAUGCAUAUAAUUGUAGUUUGUUAAUUUUCACUACUCUAUAGUAUCCCAUUUUAUGAACAGACA